rnacentral:rRNA from 1 species
UGGGGAAUAUUGCACAAUGGGGGAAACCCGUGAUGACAGCGACGCCGCGUGAGCGAUGAAGUAUUUCGGUAUGUAAAGCUCUAUCAGCAGGGAAGAAAAUGACGGUACCUGACUAAGAAGCCCCGGCUAACUACGUGCC